rnacentral:misc_RNA from 1 species
UAUGCAAACCUUCAGACAGACUCUUCUCAU